UUCAAGUUGUCAUCAAUCAAGAUAUUAAAGUUAUACAAACGUAACACGUAUUGAUAAAAUACCGCCACGGCAGAACUCUACACUACCCUGUUCCCUGUACAUACUAUUUGAGGAGGGCGGAGCUAAGGGAGGAGCAUGAACAUGACUGAUCCUCGAAUGACUUAUCCUAUAUAGUGACGCAGGUUAAGAUAGUUUAAAGACUCUGUCAACAAAAGAGUUAAUAACCGUUUAUUUUUGGACCUGAUGUAGUGGACCGUUUGGACUGGAUGGUGUAGUAUGUGACCGAAAACGACAGCUUCGAAGUGGGCGGCGGUGCGGCAAUACAGAACAAAGCUAUUGUGUUCCCGUUCAACCUGUCACUUUCAAAUUACAUUCACGCUGCGCCGCAGAGCAAAUAGAGAUAACGUUUGGUCUUUACUCCCCGGACGGACUCUAACCGAUAAUCAGGUAAUAUUCUGUAGGCCGUCGGCGAAAGUAACAAAAAAAAAGCGUCCACUAAGCAAGCACUAAAUAAACUACAUUGUUGAUGUUGGAAUACAAUACCUUGCGUGUUAGGUACAUUUAUUUGUAUAAGUAAUAUGCAAUACAUAUUGCGUUUACGUCUCUUUAUCUUUGCCUCUCAGUACCGUAUAUAUUUGAUUCACUUUUUCUCUGUACUUGACUGUCGUGUGCGCGUCAUGUAAAAAUGUGAGUUGUAACUUCUAUAUAAUAAACGGUCGGUUAUUUUGUACGUACUUAUUUUAUUGGCAAACGUUGAUAUAAGUAACGAAAGGGCUUUGAACUAUUGCGUGGCCGAAUUUUUUUUGUCGUUCUUUGUGUCGUUUAUUCAAAAUGGCUGCCGAUGUAGGUUCCGCAUUUUCUGCGAUCGAAAAAUUGAAAGGUCGACAGAAUUAUAGCGACUGGCGAUUUCAAAUCACUGCUCUGUUGAAACAUGAUGGUCUUUGGGAAUGUGUGAUGGGGCAGAUGGUUACUUUCGCGACUACUGACGAAACUCCAACAGCGGUUGCAGCAUGCCGGGAGGCAGCACGUAAGGAAGAAAAAGCGUUAUCCAAAAUAAUUCUUUCCUUGGACAAGUCAACGUACCCGCACGUGAUGCAGGCAAAAACAUCGAUAGAAGCUUGGAAGGCUCUUGAAAAAGCCUUUGAAGACAAGGGACUUCAUCGACGUCUGCGCCUUUUGAGGAAUCUGUGUUACAUUAAGUUGAGUAAUUAUGAUACAAUGGAGGAUUAUGUUAAUGAAAUUAUGUCUCUCUCGCAACAACUUAUUUCGAUGGGUAGACCUAUUGAUGAUAAGUUUUUAGGUGUUGUUAUGCUCCAAGGGCUCACUGAAGAUUAUGACCCGAUGAAAGUUCUGGAACUGACAUAACCUCAGAUUUUGUAAAGACCAAGCUCCUGCAAGAUAAAAAAUGGCAUAAUGGUAAAUGCUCAAAUGGAGACACAGCACUGAUAUCAAAAACAGGUAAAAAGACUCCUUGGUGCUGCUGAUGUUGCUCAAAGGGGCACUAUAAAAAUCAGUGUACCCAGAAACAAUAUAACCAUCAAAAUAAGUUUCCUCAUGCAAAAGUUAAAAAUAUGAAUAGCAACAAAGCUUUGUUUGCAGCUUUUAACAUAAGUGAAAGACAUAUUUUACCAAAUGUAUGGUAUAUUGAUAGUGGAGCUACUUCUCAUAUGACUGGUCUGACAAAAAUAAAGGACAGGAAAUUAUAGUUGCUGACAAUGCUAGGUUGUCUGUUGCCGGAACGGGAGAUGCAGUUGUCAAGUUGCAGCAAAAUGGCAGCGAAAGACGCAUUUCAGAUAUAAAAUAUGUUCCUAACCUGGUGUGAAUUUAUUAAGUGUUAAUUCACUAAUUUCAAAGGGUUUUAGUGUAUCUUUUGAUUCGCAGGGUUGGCGAAUAUUUAAUUGCAAAGAAUUCACCAACAGCUUGAUACAAUACCAGAAAGUGACAUCUGUGCAAAUACUGCAGAAGUCAUAGAAUCGCAAAUGCUGUGGCACAAAAGCAUCUUAAUCAUUUUAGCAUGAAGUUGUUAAAAGAAGGUUUGGCCUCAGGAAUUAGCUAUUGUGAUACUCAACCUCCAUCCUUGUGUGAAAGUUGCAUUUAGGGUAAGCAUUCGAAGAAACCGUUCCCCAAAAAUAAAAGUAAUGGGGUGGCUGCGAAUAAAUUAGACUUAAUCCACUCAGAUGUAAUGGGACCUAUAGAAAUAAAGUCCUGGUGUGGUGCUAGAUAUAUUUUUACACUAAUUGACGACAGCACAAGAAAAGAUUUCUGUUAUUUUCUCAAAAGUAAAGAUGAAGUUGCUGAUUGCUUUAAAGUUUUUUGUGUUCGAGUCGAAAAUGAAACAGAAAGAAAAAUAAAAAUAUUACGAACUGAUAAUGGUGGUGAAUACUGCAAUCAGAAUUUGGACAAGUUUUUAAAACAAAAAGGUAUAAAACAUGAGAUGACGGUUCCUUAUACACCAGAACAAAAUGGUGUAGCCGAACGUUACAACCGCACAAUAAUGGAUAAGGUGCGCUCAAUGAUGUUUGAUACAAAUUGUCCAAGCCAGAUGUGGACGGAGGCGGCGAACAUGGCUGUCUAUCUUAUAAAUAGAUCACCAACUAAAAGGAUCAAGGGAGAAACUCCAGAGGAAAGAUGGACAGGCAAGAAGGUCGAUCUUGGUCACCUUAGAGUGUUUGGCUGUACAGCCUUUGUUCGUGUCCCUGAUGGAAAACGAGGGAAACUGGAACAGAAAAGCAAGGAAUAUAUAUUUGUUGGCUAUUCUGAUGUAACUACAGGAUAUAGAUUAAUUGACCCCAUUACUCACAAACUUCGAAUUGCAAGAGAUGUGAUAUUUUUGGAACAGAAAACUGUGCGUUUAGAACAUGAAGCAAGUUCUCAGAACAUCGGCGUUAUUACCAUGCCACUGGAGGGUGCAGAAUUUGGAAUGGACCACAAAAAUGGUAAGAACCUCUUCAGCAGACUAAUGACGCGGUAAGUGAUGUUUCAGAGAGUGAACCUUUUGAAGAUGCAGAGAGAACUCUAGUUGCCAAAGAAGACAGUUCUUCAGCAAGUUCCCCAGAAAAAUUGGUGGAAAAUGGUGUACCGUCUGAUGACGGGACAGUUGCUGUGAUUGGACAAACAGGUGCUAUGGAAGCGCGAAUGAGUGAUGUGCAACAGGUUCCUGAUAGUGAUGUGAAUGUUACUGAGGACCGAAGGUACCCAAAAAGAAUCUCUCGUAAGCCGACGUUUUUUAACGAAUAUGUUUUGACCGACUUAUCUGAUUCAGAUAUUGAUUUUGCUAUGUUAUCUUUAAAUGUACAGUCAGAGCCAGAGACUGUUUCCGGAGCAUUGUCUGCACCAAAUAAAGAUCAAUGGAUUCUAGCUAUCCAAAGGGAGCUUAAUGCUUUUAGACAGAAUAGUGCUUGGGAAUUAGUUGACAGGCCUGCUAACACCAAUAUUGUUAGAAAUAAGUGGGUGUUUAAAAUCAAAAGAGAUCAGAGCGGCCAAAUUGCAACAUAUAGAGCUCGUUUGGCGGCAAAGGGGUUUACUCAAAAAUAUGGAGUUGAUUAUACUGAAACUUUUUCCCCUGUUGUCCGUUUUUCUAGUUUGAGACCUUUGUUUGCAAUGGCAGCUGAAUUGAAUCUUGAAGGUGAUCAUCUUGACGUUGAAACUGCAUUCCUUAAUGGUGGCCCGAAUGAAACAAUAUAUAUGUGUCAACCUGAUGGCUUCAAGGAGCCUGGCUUACAAAAUAAAGUUUGCUUGUUAAAGAAAGCUAUUUAUGGACUCAAGCAAUCAUCUCGUUUGUGGUCUGAAAAAGCCAGUAGAGUUUUGCAAAAAUUAAACUUUGUGCAGUCUGAGAUUGAACCCUGUUUGUAUUUUAAAGUUACAGAUAACUCCAUUGUCAUCAUGGCUCUGUAUGUUGACGAUUUUUUCUUGUUCUAUAAUAAUUUCGAAGAAAUUAAAGUGCUAAAAUAGGAAUUGCAUAAAAACUUUGACAUCAAAGACUUGGGGCCUAUAUCUUACUGUUUAGGCAUGAAAAUAGAAAGAAAUCGUACCAAAAAUGAAUUAAAAUUAAGUCAGGAGCAAUAUAUAACUAAAUUGCUUGAACGUUUUCAAAUGACUGACUGUAGUACUGUGAGCACUCUUUAUUCAUGAGCUCUUCUUCACUACUAAUAGUGAGUGUCAAUUUCUAAAUGUAUCACAGGCAUGUAGAGUAUAUAAUGACAAUCAAAGUGCCAUAAAAUUAGCCCAAAAUCAAAUAUUUCACAAGCGUACAAAACAUAUACAUGUGAAAUACCAUUUCUUACGAGAAAAAGUUAGAGAUGGUAGUGUUACUUUUCUAUACAUGUCAACUAUUGACUUGGUAGCCGACUUACUUACAAAAGGUCUGGCUAGUAAUAAACACUUAUAUUUAUGUGGUAAACUAAGCUUGCAGUGAUUUAGCUGUAAUUUAACUUAAAAUGGGACUAAAAUUUGGUAUCUUAUUGUACUCGCCUAUGUAACGCAAAUAUUGAGCGAGAAUGUUGGAAUACAAUACUUUGCGUGUUAGGUACAUUUAUUUGUAUAAGUAAUAUGCAAUACAUAUUGCGUUUACGUCUCUUUAUCUUUGCCUCUCAGUACCGUAGAUAUUUGAUUCACUUGUUCUCUGUACUUCACUGUCGUGUGUGCGUCAUGUAAAAAUAUGUGUUGCAGCUUCUGUAUAAUAAAC